ACAGACAUGCACCACUCAGAGAACAGGAAGGGAACAACCUUCACAUAUUUUCAGUGGGAAAAAAAAAAUGUAUGUAUGUUUCCUUGUGUAUGUCUUUACAGGACAGCCAAGUAGCAGCCAGAAUCAUUGUAGCUUUUGAGUCCUUGAGAAGUGCAAACAAAUAUCUAUGUGUAAAUCACCAAGAUAAUGCCUGGAUCCAAAGUAAAAAUAGAAGUCACAAACUCUAAUCUUUGGACAGUAGUUAUAUCCUAUUUUCUAAUUAUCCUCUCCUAUCACAUGUAGUGUCUAAUAUAAAAGAGCGACAGGGUCUGAUAAAAGGGAAGCAUAGUUUUCAACCAGCUGCUCUAAAGAGGUGGGUAAGACCUCUGAGGGUAUUCUCAGAACAGUGAAAAAUACAUAGAUAAUGUGUGGCACCCCUCUUCCAGGGACCACUGUAAAAACAGAGACUACCAACCACAGAGGAAGAGGGAUGGUUUGCUGAAGGCCACACAAGAAUCACACCACUCAUUCAAGGAUAAAGCAGUGGGACUGCACUGCCUUCCACAUUACAUUACCAGCGUUCACCAAAACAUACAAAUGUUCUAAGUGUUAAAGAUACAAAUUUAUGAGAACUACAACUACAUUAACACAGUAAAAGAUCCCUAGACUCAUAAAUACUAAAUACCAAUCAUCAUUGCUAUGCACAUGUGCAAAAUGAGAAGAUGCUUAAAUAAGUACCUCCUGUUAGUUAUCUCUAACACUUCCAAAUGAAUAACCAUUUAUUUACUGCAGGAUGGAAAAUAUGAAUGUCACUAAAAACAAUCCCAUAUUCAUGCUUCAUAAAUUUUACUCACUCAUUAUAACUUAUUAAACUUUCAUAGAAUAUUAUCACUAUGGCAUUAUGAAAGCUAGGUUAGAUUUGAAUCAUGAGUCAAAAUAUAUACUCCUUACAGCUACCUGUGAUACUCACAGUAAGUGGUCCAUUAACAUCGAGAUUCUGCUUUUGCCAUAUGAAGAUACAGAAGUUGGUGGUGACUCCCAAGUAACGCAACAGAAGAAAUCAGAGGAGAAAUACGAGCAGUACUUAUUUGCAGCAAUGCUACCAGUGACAGGAAAGACACUUGGCCUUCCAGACAAGUCAGAAGAAAUCAGUGAAGGAUCAAUCUACGCCAAGGUUGUUAGAGCAUGUUAGCAACUGUAAUAUCAGAAAGCUCUCAGUACUGCUUUGGUCAAGGUAAGGAUCAGAAGAGAUUUUCCUGAUACCACAAGCUGCUUUGUGAAAGUGAUUGUAAGUAGUUCUGAUUUUAUUUUGUAGUGAAGAUAGUCAUGACAUAAAUGCAAAUUGCAAUAAUUUCUGCUCUUUUUUUUCCCAUUCCUAAAACCAUAACCAUUUUUCUCAUUUUUCUCUGAGAAGCACUCUUUGCAGUUGUUGUGGCAGAUCUUUUGUGUGUUAGAUGUUCUUUUGUAGGAGCUUGACUAGAAUUGCA
ensembl:lncRNA